rnacentral:rRNA from 1 species
UACGUAGGGACCAAGCGUUGUUCGGAUUUACUGGGCGUAAAGGGCGCGUAGGCGGCAAUUCAAGUCAGCUGUGAAAUCUCCGGGCUUAACUCGGAACGGUCAGCUGAUACUGCUUUGCUAGAGUGCAGAAGGGGCAAUCGGAAUUCUUGGUGUAGCGGUGAAAUGCGUAGAUAUCAAGAGGAACACCUGAGGUGAAGACGGGUUGCUGGGCUGACACUGACGCUGAGGCGACGAAAGCUAGGGUAGCAAACGGG